AUCUGUAGGCUCAAGAGAAAGGGGAUCAAUGAAGGGACCAAAAAUAGAAACAGCUUCUCCAGUACCGAUCUCAGGGCCUGCUCUUUUGGCAGUACCUGCCCACUGCGCCCCUCAUCAGAGAAACCCCUCCUCUCGUCCAGUACUCAUUUAGAAUGUGAGUUAAAAAGCAUGACUCUUACACAAAUAUCAAGUGAGUAUAUGUCAAAGAUUUAUUUCAUUAAUCAAUGAUAGAACAGCAGUCUGAGAAAACUGGUUCAGUUGCUAUACUUCUAUAAUAAAAAAGAAAAAAACUGGUUCAGAGGUCAAAAAGACAGAAAGCUAAAAUAAAGGAUGGCCAAGUCAGCUCCCAAACUGGGUAAUGUCUUGCAGGUGGGGUGACCAACAGCCUGUUUGCCUCAGAACAGUCCCAGUUUUAGCACUAAAAGUUCCUUAUCCUGGGAAACCCCUCAGGCCGCAGGCAAAUGGGAGCAGUUGGUCACCCAACCUACAGGGCAAUGAACUACAAACUUUGACAUGAUUCUUUCUACUAGACCAGAAAUCAUCCGCAUCUUUUCUUCACAAAAAGCAUUUCAGUUGACCAAUCUAAAAGACCAUCUAAUUUGAUGGAGCCUGAGAUCAAGAUCAAGGAGUAAGUCAAGCAAAGACACACUGAAUCAGUGACGUAGGAACAGACCUGUUCCGCAGUGCUCCAUGUAGCACUGAAGACAGGCACUUAUCCUUUGCCUCAUUUCCAAGUGUUGAAUUUCUUAGCAGUCUACAAAAAUAUAACAGAACAGUUUCUAUACCUCAUCCAUAGGUACCAAUUUCUCCAGAGGAAAGAGAAGUUAAGAGCGGAUCCAGUCCCCAGAGUCUGGGGACUCCUCUUGGUGUAAGCUGUCCACUCGCAUGAUAAUUAUCCCUCCCACAGUAUCCACCAUUCCCAAAGGAGGCAGAGGGUUUAGAGCCCAGGCAGAUUAGCACUCAGGCUCAAGGGACUGGGCCCACAUGGAUAACCCAGGAUAAUUUUUCUAUUUUAAGAUACUUAAUCACAUCUGCAAAGUUGCUUUUGCAUGCAAAUUCACGGGUUCCAUGGGGUAGGAUGUGGACAUCUUUGCAGGUCAUUGUUUGGGUCGCCACACAGCAGGCCAGGUGUUCAAGAGUGGCUUGGCUGGGUGGUUCGUGGCUCUCCCGCAAGAUUGCAGCCAAGGUUUGGCUGGGGCUGCGGUCAUCUAGGCUGUAGUCGGGAGGGAGGAUCUGCUCUAGAGGUCAUUCACUCGCUUUGGAGAUAAAGGCUUUACAGGGGUGAUCAAAUUAAAAUGAGGUCAUUAGGAUGGGCCCUAACCCAAUAUGACUGGUGCCAUUAUAAAAGGGGAAAUUUGGAUUUAGAAAUAUGGACAUGCAUAGAGGGAAGACCAUGUGAAGAGAUACAGGGAGAAGAUGGACACCUACAAGCCAGCGAGAGAGGCCUGGAUCACCCCUAUGCUCCCAGCCCUCAGGAGGAACUGGCCCUGCUGACACCUUGACCUCGGACUUGCAGCCUCCGGAACUGAGAAAAAACAUCAACCAAACCCAAAUUGAGGAAUGUUCUACUCAAACCUGCCAAGGUCAUGAAAAAUAAGGAGAGCCUGAGAAAUGGCCACAGACCAGACGACGCUCUCAGAUCAGACUAGAUUCAGGAGAUAGGAGGUGAAAUGGUAUCCUGGAUGGGGUCCUUGAACGGCAAAAGGAGGGGCAGACUUGUGUUGUGGAACCUGGAGCCAGAUAGAAAGACUGGAAUGCCCACUCACCACUCACCACUCACCACUAUGUGACCUCAUUUUCAUCUGUCAGAUUCAGUUGUCAGUUACCGAAUGAGGGCAUAUCUAAGGGGAUGACCUGAUACAGAAGCCCCUGUCCCCUUCACACCCCUUGGGCCCUGAAGAUCCUGCGUCAGCUGCACUAUUUGCAGGACCAUCUGCCCAGAUCCUGUGCUGCUGGUUGGUCUUUGAUCUGUAAACCCGAGUCUGAGCCAGCCAGGUUGAGACAGAGCCAGCCGGUGGGUGAUCUCAGAGCAGCUGUUUCAUUGUUCUGCAGUUGCUUCCUAGGCCCAGGCCUCCCCAAAGGACAGAAUGGGCCCCCUUGACAGACAGGUGAGGUGCUUAAACAGACCAUUCACAAAACUCCAAGAACUAAUAAGUGCAUGAAAAGAGACCAUCCUCACUCAAAUAAUAAAAGAACAGAAAUGACAGCAAUACUUUAACACCACUUUUUUCCCCCUGUCAAUCAAUUUGGCAAAGAUCGUUUUAGAAAAUAAUUCCCAGGGUUUGCAAACAAUUACUGAUAGGAAGGUAAUCGGCCUUUCUGAAAGCAAGUUGGCCAUGUGUAUCAGAAACUGUAAAAAUAUGCAUUCUAGAAUAGAAUAUUCCAUAAAAGGUUCAGGACAAAAUAGGAAUUUAGCACAGGGUAAAGGCGACAUUUCAAAUUAACAAAUAGAGAAUCUUCUAUUUCUGACAAUGCUGAGGUCAGGAUGAUCUGGAGAACAUCUGGGAAUGUUGGAUAAAAUAUGACACAAUGGCUGACAAAACUCCAAGGAUAAAAAAGGAAUGCCCCAGGAACAAAGAGAAAGAAGUGAGAACCAGAGCUAAGGGUGAGUUGACAGUGCUGCUGCCCUAGAGGGAACUUUCUGAAGAAUCUAAGGUUCCUGUUUUAAUGUCCAAGUGGUGACAGAACACCAAGCCUAUAGGAUCCGUGGGUAUGGGAAGAAAGUUGAAUCUGAGUCCAUGUAAAGGUGGGAUCCUUCAAAGUCUACAUCUUUCAAGUGGCAGAAAUCAGUCACAAUAGCUUCUAACUUCCAGAAAACCCCAUCCUUGCUCGACUUAACUCUUGCAAAGGCCAACAUCAAGAAGAAGGAUCUUAACCUCUGAGAUUCUGUCCACCUAGAGAACCCCUCCUGUAGCAUUCAGUUGAUUCAAGCAGGAUAUGCUGUCCUGACAGUCUGAAAUCCAAGAGGUUGUCAAAACAAGACAUAUUUGUAUUGUCUGUUUUUCCUAUAGUCUAUCACUGAUCGAUGUGGCAGGUCUAUCAGUAUUUGAAAUGUGAUUCUACUUCUAGGAAACUAUCCACAAAUUGCAGGAUGCUCAUAAAAAUUCCCCCCCCCCCAAAAAAAAAAUCCCAAUCACAAA